rnacentral:rRNA from 1 species
AACGAACGCUGGCGGCAGGCUUAACACAUGCAAGUCGAACGAAGCCUUCGGGCUUAGUGGCGCACGGGUGCGUAACGCGUGGGAAUCUGCCCUUGGGUUCGGAAUAACAGUGAGAAAUUACUGCUAAUACCGGAUGAUGUCGAAAGACCAAAGAUUUAUCGCCCGAGGAUGAGCCCGCGUAGGAUUAGCUAGUUGGUGAG